UCCGUAGGUGAACCUUGCGGCAUAUCAAUAAGCGGAGGAUCCGUAGGUGAACCUUGCGGAAGGAUCAUUACCGAGUGCGGGCUGCCUCCGGGCGCCCAACCUCCCACCCGUGACUACCUAACACUGUUGCUUCGGCGGGGAGCCCCCCAGGGGCGAGCCGCCGGGGACCACUGAACUUCAUGCCUGAGAGUGAUGCAGUCUGAGCCUGAAUACAAAUCAGUCAAAACUUUCAACAAUGGAUCUCUUGGUUCCGGCAUCGAUGAAGAACGCAGCGAACUGCGAUAAGUAAUGUGAAUUGCAGAAUUCAGUGAAUCAUCGAGUCUUUGAACGCACAUUGCGCCCCCUGGCAUUCCGGGGGGCAUGCCUGUCCGAGCGUCAUUGCUGCCCUCAAGCCCGGCUUGUGUGUUGGGUCGUCGUCCCCCCCGGGGGACGGGCCCGAAAGGCAGCGGCGGCACCGUGUCCGGUCCUCGAGCGUAUGGGGCUUUGUCACCCGCUCGAUUAGGGCCGGCCGGGCGCCAGCCGGCGUCUCCAACCUUAUUUUUCUCAGGUUGACCUCGGAUCAGGUAGGGAUACCCGCUGAACUUAAGCAUAUCAAUAAGCGGAGGA
rnacentral:rRNA from 1 species